GUCGGGAUAGCUCAGUGAUA
rnacentral:tRNA from 1 species